rnacentral:rRNA from 1 species
UUGAACGCUGGCGGAAUGCUUUACACAUGCAAGUCGAGCGGCAGCGCGGGGGCAACCCUGGCGGCGAGCGGCGAACGGGUGAGUAACAUAUCGGAACGUACCCCGUCGUGGGGGAUAACACAGCGAAAGUUGUGCUAAUACCGCAUACGCCCUGAGGGGGAAAGCGGGGGACCUUCGGGCCUCGCGCGAUUGGAGCGGCUGAUGUCGGAUUAGCUAGUUGGUGGGGUAAAGGCCUACCAAGGCGACGAUCCGUAGCUGGUCUGAGAGGAUGAUCAGCCACACUGGGACUGAGACACGGCCCAGACUCCUACGGGAGGCAGCAGUGGGGAAUUUUGGACAAUGGGGGCAACCCUGAUCCAGCCAUUCCGCGUGAGUGAAGAAGGCCUUCGGGUUGUAAAGCUCUUUCAGCCGGAACGAAACGGUACGCUCUAACAUAGCGUGCUAAUGACGGUACCGGCAGAAGAAGCACCGGCUAACUACGU